UGAAUCGCCAUUUUGGGAGAGCGCGUGCGCGAGCUCAUUGUUGUGUUCGCGGAGCUGCGCAGCUGAGAGGAGCGUGACGACGGCAACUAGUGUUUGUUUAAUUGCUGGAAUACGCGAAUCGACUCAGUUUUUACACACUAAUCGAAGUGAAUUCUGAUAGUUUGUCGGGUACGUUCAUUAAAAUGAGUUACGGCAGGCCUCCGCCCGACGUAGAGGGCAUGACAUCGUUAAAAGUGGAUAAUUUAACGUACCGCACGUCGCCGGAGACCCUGAGGCGCGUCUUUGAAAAGUACGGCCGAGUCGGGGACGUUUAUAUUCCCCGAGAUCGAUACACGAAAGAGAGCCGGGGGUUCGCCUUCGUGCGCUUUCACGACAAGAGGGAUGCCGAAGACGCGAUGGACGCGAUGGAUGGAGCGAUUCUGGACGGCCGCGAGCUCCGGGUUCAGAUGGCCCGCUAUGGCAGGCCGCCCGACUCCUACUACGGCGGGCGUCGCGGCGGAGGAGCCGCCAGGAGACACGGCGGACAUGGCCGCCGCAGCCGAAGUCCGAGGCGUCGGAGACGCAGCCGUUCCAGAAGCAGGAGCCGCUCUCGUUCCCGCAGCCGUUCCCGUUACAGCAGGUCCCGGUCACGCUCCUAUUCCCGCUCUCGCUCCAAGUCUCACACUCCCCGCAAGAGGAAGUCCAAGUCUCCUUCCAGGUCUAGGUCACGCUCUCGAUCCAAAUCCAGGUCCCGUUCCAGAAGCCGCACACCUGCAUCGAACAGAGGGUCUAAGUCCAGGUCGAGGUCUAAAAGCCAGCCAAAGUCUGCUGGGGAUGAAGGACCUGCAUCAUCCUAAAACUCUUCAGUGCUGCUGAAUCCAGUAUGGCAAUGUAAAAGCAGGGCUGUGUGGUGCAGUUUGAGCUGUUAGAGGUGUACCUGCUCCUGUUGGGGUUGCUUUGAAGCAGAUGGGUGUUUUGGUGGUGCUGAGGUCCGUCUCAUCAUGGGCCGAUUCUAAAUGUGUGACCUCGGUUGGAGCCUGAGGAACCCCAGAUUGAAAACCCUGAAAUCUACACAAAGGCUACAUGGGUCUAAAGGUCAUUAUGACUGAUUGGCAUAUUCAAACUGUUCAAGAGUUAUACAGCCCUUUGUUCUUUGUAUACAUUGUUCCUGUUUUCAGUGAGGUUGUUUUAAAUGUGUAUGUCCUUUUUAAUUCGUUGAGUAGGACGAGCAUCACAAUUCUAUUGGCCUUUAAGGUAAACCUGUUUCGGUGAUGGUUCCGAGCGUGCUAGCCGCACCUCACUUGUCACUUUUGUAAGACGCUGUUUAGAGAUUAAUUUAGAUUUGGCUUCUUUGUUGUUGUUAAAAAUUUGCUUUAAUCUGCAAAUGCAUACAAUUAUUUCUCUGCUUUAUUUUGAAAUCAUUUGGAAAAUAUGAAUAGCUUGUGUUCUGAUUGCUGUAUAUUACUGAUAUAUUCUUGAUGUUAAAGCAAUUUUUGUAUUUCUUUUUCUUUAAAUAGUUUACUUGGCUUUUCGUGUGUGAUUAUUUGGAUUCUAACCCAAUGUCUUGUGUAUUUUUUGUGCACUAGGCGCAGUUGUCUAGCUGUUGAGUUUUGCUGGUUAGCUGUUAAGAUCCGGUGUUGCAGUGCUGAGUGCUUGGCUGUUUCCGGUUUUCUCCAGUUUGCUGCUGUUGCAGGUGUGGUCGAGGUCAAGCAGCAUCUGCAAAAAAAUUCGGUGGCCGAAGCGCUGUCGUCUGUCAAAUGUCUUUUACUUUGUUACAGUUUGGAAAGUUGGAGUAUCUAUACCGAUAAACUUUGUUCUGUCCUUUGAUUUUUGAUUCUUCAAUAAAUCUAUUAAUUAAUUA